GACGAACGCUGGCGGCGUGCCUAAUACAUGCAAGUUGAGCGCUGAAGGUUGGUACUUGUACCAACUGGAUGAGCAGCGAACGGGUGAGUAACGCGUGGGGAAUCUGCCUUUGAGCGGGGGACAACAUUUGGAAACGAAUGCUAAUACCGCAUAAAAACUUUAAACACAAGUUUUAAGUUUGAAAGAUGCAAUUGCAUCACUCAAAGAUGAUCCCGCGUUGUAUUAGCUAGUUGGUGAGGUAAAGGCUCACCAAGGCGAUGAUACAUAGCCGACCUGAGAGGGUGAUCGGCCACAUUGGGACUGAGACACGGCCCAAACUCCUACGGGAGGCAGCAGUAGGGAAUCUUCGGCAAUGGACGAAAGUCUGACCGAGCAACGCCGCGUGAGUGAAGAAGGUGUUCGGAUCGUAAAACUCUGUUGGUAGAGAAGAACGUUGGUGAGAGUGGAAAGCUCAUCAAGUGACGGUAACUACCCAGAAGGGACGGCUAACUACGUG
rnacentral:rRNA from 1 species